CCACAGAAAAUGUUGAGUUUCAAAAACUAUUUAAUUCGCAAACUUAAAUAUUUUGUAUAGAUUCCUAAAUUUUAUAAAUUUUUCUGUAAAUAAUUGAAAAAAAUCUCAAUAAGUGGCAACUCUGUGAAAAUGUAUGCUAAAUAACACUUUUUAUUUAACAUCUGAAAAUCUUACAAACAUUAAAAUCGUAGACCAAAAGCGGAAUUUUUAAUUAUAUUAAAUAUUGCAUGGUAUAUUCUGAAUUCAAAAUAUAUUAUAAUAUAUUUUUUGUAAUAUGGUACAUUUUUUCGAAAGAACUUAAUAUGUUUUUAUAUAAAAAUCUCUCUUAUGCUGUCAUUACGCGCUAUGCACUCUAAACCCAGAAAAAAAAUUAAUCUCCCAAAAACAGUAAUACAAAACCGACACGCAAUGAACCCUGACCUUAAUACACUCAUAAAAAUAAAUACUUAAAUAAGUAUAAAUAUUUUUUUUUAACUCAAAGCAUCGGAUAUUGCUCCAACAUACACACACACUCACGCCGAAAAAACAACGCCGUUACAAUACCUGCGGCGAUUUCUUGUUUUUACCUGUCGUAACACACACUAAUAACCGCCCCAUUAGGCGCAUAAUUAUGGCCCAUGAAACAAUGCAAGUCUCCGGAUAAGAGUCGUAAUUUUUAAAUUGUUCAUAAAUAGCAACAAUAACCGCAAACUUAACUACUGCUGCAGUUGUGUGUGUAUAACAAGCCGAAAAUUGGCAAAAAAAAAACAAAAAAGCAAAAACAACAUGAAUGUGUAGUAACUGUAAAAUGAGGUGCACAAAAGUGUGGCAGACGAGGCUGGUUUGCUACUGGGAGCUCACAUGUGUCUGACUCUGACGGUGAUGAUAUCAGCUGGACAAGAAUUUAGCACAUAAAGCGGUUAUUGCACUGCGGAUAUUUCAUUCAUUCCUUGAAAUUUUGUGAAAAUUUGGUGAGAGUGGAGUGUCAUAGCAAGCAGACAACUGACAAUGACGUAACUAAUAGUCAUCUACUUUCGAAAGUGAGGUUAAGGUGUGUGUUCUCGAUUUUGAAAAGUGACUGAGUGUUGACUGUGUCCUCAUCAACCAAAGAGCGCGCCGUUAAGUAGUACUCAGCAGUUUUGACAGUGUUAACUGAUUUGCUCACGUCACAAUAGCUUGUGUUAACGGAAGCUGUUUAUUUAAUUGAGAUCUUCUCUGAAAGGAGAAACUGAAAGUGUGCUAACUAUCACUUUGGAGUUUAAUACCGCAAAACUUCAGAACAUUUUUAUUUGAUUUUGAGUUAUGUGUUUUUAUAAUAGUCCUGAAUACUAAUAUAUCUAGAUUUUCCAGGUUUCAAAAUUUCAUCCGAUGAAAAAUUAAAUUUUAUCAGCAGUCCUAGAGUUUUUUCUCUAGUUUACUUUUCCUAUGAGUUGAACUUUGGUCCUAAAAACAAAACUUUGAUCUCAAAAAUAUACAUAACCUCAAAAAAUUUACCGUUAUAUAUUUUAAUAUUAUAAUCAUACAAAAAAAUCAUAAAUGGUUUAAGGGACGUAGAACAAAAACUUUAUUAACAUUUAUUACUCAACCGCGACCACCCAGCUAAUAAAAAUAUAACGCAUAUUCUCACAUACCGCCUAUCAACUAUUCGCUUAUCCCUCGACUUUAGUGACAGCUUUACACGCAGCACUAUCAUAUUUAAAUAAGAAUAAAAAAAAUCGUUCGUGCUUUAGUUUCCUAUACUUCUUUACUAAUGAAAUAAAAAUAAAUUUGAUUUUGUCACGUUUUCCUAACCCCCCAACCACACAAGUCGUCGUCGUCUAUAAGCUACAAAUCCUGACCGUAUCACAUAGCGAGUUGUGGCAGGUUGUACGAGUACGCGCGGCGACUGUAAACCCUUUCAGGGCACAUGGCGAGCUCAGCAGGGCACAAAUCCGCUAUUCUCCCAUACGCUUUUAUAUCCUUUCUACUACAACUUGUGUGCCCCUAUCAACUUUAAUAUGCUACUUCCGCCGCGUUGCCACCAAAGUUGUUGCGCUGUCUUACUAUGGUAUCACUUUACUAUGGCAUAGCCCUUAUAUUCUUUUACUGUUGUUGUUGUAUUUUUUUCUUGCUUUUGCUUCGGUAUUGUUUCACAAACUUAUUUGCAUAAAUUGCUCGCUUUCCUUUCCCUGACAUUCCACUCUUCGUCUUUGCGCUCUACCGUGCUUUUUAUGGCUUCUACGGGUAUACAAGUGUCUGAGCAUGACUGCGUAUCCUUCAAUAUCCUUUGGACAUGCAUACAUACAUACAUACAUAUACAUAUAUAUACAUUCAGUUAUUAUUACCACUUCAGAUUUUUUGCGUAUACGACGGUAUUUCGCCUAUAAUAAUCUCUUUAAAUAUUUAACCGCUGUUGCAGUUUGCCGAAUGAAAUUAAGCAUACCUGUAAAUAUUUGGACAUUUUUUUGCUAUUAUUGUUGUUGUAUCAGACUCAAAAUGUUUUUGAGAAUAGCAGAUUAAAAAUAUGCCAGAAAUGUGGUUAGCUGAAUCCAAAAGUCAUGAAAGAAUUUUUAAGUGUCUUUGAUUUCAAAUCUCCACAUUGAUUUGAAUUGGAAACAGUGCAGCUUAAAGCGUCAAAUUUUAGAGAACGAAAUGGAUAAUUAAAUCUUUUCACAUGAAAAAUUAUAUUCAAUCUGUAGAAACAACUCACAAAUUAGAAGAAGUUAGAAUGAAAACUGGAUAUACAAAAAUUCUUAGAUAUUACAAAAAUUCUUAAGAUCAUCAUCUAAAAAUAGUCUACUACACUUAGAAUUCUAUGAAAUUCGACACUACAAAGUAGUUAAGCUCCAAUUGAUCUUCAGACAAAGAAAAAUGGCAAUAGAAUAUAUUCUCCUUCAGAACUUGCGUAACUACUUAAAUAUGUAAUCUUUCUUUUCUAGAAUAAGUUGUAUGAAAAGUAACCCAAUAAAAAUCAUCUAAAACGGCUAUCAAUCUAAAAUAAUGUACAUUUAACAUUACUUAGAGCCUUAUUAAAUAGCUCAAAGUAGUUGGAACACUCAAUGUAUUCAUGAUAUAACUAUAAGAUUGUCUAAAACGGUUAUAUUUCUUCAAAGAACCAAGAUACAGUUUAAACUCUUGUUAAAUUGUUUAGAGCAGUUCGGAACCUUUUCACACAGCCCCAAAUUGAUCAAUUAACCGGCCUUUGCUCGAUUAAAACGUUGAUUAAGAUCGAUUUACCAUACCAAGUAAAAAUCCACAUUUAUUUUUAAUUGAACUUUAAUCGAGUAGCCGGCAGUGUGAAGGGCAAAAACUGGUUUCUCAAUCAAAAUUUAAUUGAUCAAUUAAUUUGGCUGUGCGAAAAGGCUAUACGAUAUUUUACAAUCAUAUCAAAAAAUUAACAAAAUACCGGCAUACAACAAUACUACAAAUCUAGCUGGAAUAAAUCUUGAGACUGAGGAAAUCAUCACCGAAGAUAAACGGGGCACAGAUUGCCCAAUGAAGCAUUGAACUUUCGAGAGCAGCUGGGUUAUAGAGAGAUCUCAAAGAUGAAGUUCUUAUUCAAUAUCCAAUAAAAUGGUUUCAGGGACAAAGGAGUUUUUAGAAAAGACGAUCUUGACAACACAAGGCGGCCAGCUUAACAUCAUCUUAGGUCCAAAAAAUAGACUGCGAACACAAUACUUACCAUUAAACAGUACAAAUAAAGUAAACAAAAAAAACAAUAAAACAUUUUACUAACCGAUCUAAACAAUUUUUUCGGAGAUUAAAUUAUUUCUAUGAGCAAUAACUCACGCCAAAUUUCAUGAAGAUAUGUAGUAAAAUGCGGAAGUUUUCCAUAUAAGCCAUUGAUUCCGGUCGUUCAGUUUGUAUGACAGCUAUAUGAUAUAGUGGUCCGAUAUCGACAGUUCCGACAAAUGCGCAGCUUCUUGAAGAGAAAAUAACAUCUGCAAAAUUUCAAAACGAUAUCUUAAAAACUGAAGGACUAGUUCGUAUAUAUACAGACAGACAGACGGACAUGGCUAAAUCGACUCAGUUCAACAUACUGGUCUCCGACGCUUCCUUCUGGGUGUUACAAACAUCGUGACAAACUUAAUAUACCCUGUUCAGGGUAUAAUAAAUAAAUUGAAAAUACUAAAUAGCAAAUUCAAUGAGAAAUUAAUGAGUAAUAAUACAAUCCAAAGAGGAAAUGAGUACAAUGACUCGCGUCCAAGGAUUUGAUAAUAAAUUGUACUUUUAUCGGAAAUGUCUAGCAGUCGCAACUUUUAAAUUGUUGUUUUUGCUUUUAUCUCGAUUAUUUUUGUUCUUUUUUCGCAAUCCAUUUCAUUGUAAUGUUGUAGCUCAAUGAACGCUGCAAAAGAACGCGCCAGCGCCAGCGUCAAUUGACCGCGUCAGAGUCAGUAACAAUUGCAAAGAUAAACUCAGAAAUGUUUUAGUUAUUGUUGCUGCAAAAAUAACAGCUGUAUACAGUAAUCCGACAACGAUACUCAUACAAUAACAACAGCAAUAACAACAAUGACAAUAACAACAACGAUAAUGCCAACAAUUGUACGAGUAUGAAUUGCUAUUUUCAUCUUGUUAGUAAAUAAUUUAUUGCAAAACAUAUUUUUAAUCAGUCGCUGGACACGAGAAAAAACGCGGCGAAAUGGCGCACUUCGCGUGCUAUUGUUGGGAAUUAAUUGGCAGCGCAAGCGAGCAGACGCCAAUCAAAGUUGCAUGAUUUUUCCCUUUUUUGUUGCUCUUUUAAUUAAACUUUCGGAAGUUUAUUAAGUUUGCUGUUUAGUCGGAGGAUCUAGCGGAGUUUAUUGUGCUAUUGUGAAUUUUGUUUCGUGAAGUUUAAUCUUCAGUAAAAUUUACUCUUUCAUUCUAGAAGUUUACGUAAUGAGCGCCAGAGAUGGUUUUCCGAUUUUCAUUUUUGACUAGCUUCAAACCUGUGUUUUAAGGUGAAUAUCGACGUAAACUGAGUUCCAGAAAUAUCGUUUUAUUUAUACAACUUCGUAUAGAAGGAAAAGUAAACCAAACUUGACUAACUCGAUUCAAAAUAAGAAAUAAACGCGACAUCUAAUAAAUAUUCUCCAAAUAAGAGCUCGACUGAUGAAUAGCUAAUACUUCGGCAUGUAUAGAACAUAGUUCGGGUUUACCAACCUCAAACUGAAAUCUAAUGCAUAAUCAGUCUUGCUAUUUUGGACUGAGUAGGCAACCUCUAUCAACGAACAAAGACCAAACUCUACAAGUCCCGUCCUUCUAUAUGGUGCGGAGACAUGGACAUUUGCAACAACUGAUAACUGCGCGUAAUGAGUUUUCGAGAGAAAGGUUUUUCGCAGGAUUUAUGGUUUAAAUAUUGGCAACGGCGAAUAACACAGACUUUGGAACGAUGAGCUAUAUGAAUAUACGACGACAUCGACAUAUUUCAGUGAAUUAAGACGCAGCGGGUAACCUGACUGGGUCAUAUGUUCCGGAUGGAACACUCCAGCACUGAGAGUAUACGAUCACCCCCGCCUGGGGAAGCAGAGGAAGACCUCUACUGCCUUGGAAAGGCCAGGUGGAGAAGAACCUAGCUGCACUUGGAUCACCGAUUGGCGCCAAACACUGAAGAUAAAAAACAAAUAAAGAAGAAGAACCAAAAACUCUUCUAUAAAGAAAAAGAAAAUAAGCUUUGAGGUCUCAUAAAAAAGUCGAAAAGACUAUCAGUGGUUCCCAAACAAUAAUAUAAUCGAUAUAAAAAAAAUGUUGAUAAAAAAAAAUUUUGAAACCCUGUACUGAAAAUAAAAAGUUUGUAAACCCCUGCACCAAAGAAACAAUUCUGCUAAUCUAUACAUAAUUAAUAUGUAAUCAACGAGAAUUGCACAAACCCCAAUAACAAUAAAAACUAUACCGUUAACGACUGCACCUUGCUCGACUAUUGAUAGAUUGCCCAAUAUACGUAGUUAAAAAUGAAAUAACACACUUAAAAAUAAUAACAAUAAUGCUACAGAAAACAGUAACGAUAAAGCAAGUUAACAACUUACAUUUAAAGUCGAACAAAUGUACACGGCGAGACCAACACAAAUCACUGGUGAAUGGUGCGGAACCGCGACCAGGCAGCAGCGCACCGACGCCACGCCGCACAAAUAAAUUAAAAAAAAAAAAUCAAACUAUUUACAGCCCGCUAGUGUGGCAAAUUGCACACACACAGAUGAAUAAACUCAAAUGGAAAAUCAGAAAAAAGUGCCACAAAACAGACAUUGCCGUUACACAGACGGUGUUUAAUGAACAGAGAGCCACAGCAAAUAAUGCAGUCCAAACACUUGUAGUUUUGUAUUUGUAUUGCACAGCUGAACCAGCAAGAACAGCAAAUUCCAAAGUCAGCAAGCCUCCACACCCCCUCGUUGCCGCCGCUGACGCUGGUGCGGUUGUGAAAGCAUUCUUUGUUAUUUGCCUGUUUGUUGUUGUUGUUCAUUUUUUUUUUUUUUAAUUUUUGCUUUGGUAAAGUGUUUUGUAAUAUUCGCAAGUAUCGCAUUUUUAUCAGCGCUCAAGCAACAACAAUAAGCACAAAUCGUAACAACGCCGCACCCAGAAACCAAAUGAGCAAACCAAAUCGCUAUGGUGCAAAUAAAUAAUGUUUUAAAUGUGUUUACAUAUAUUCAAUGUUUAAAAAUAAAUAUUACAAGGGGCAUUGAACCAGUUUUAGGCUAAAUUCAAACAAAAAAUCAUUUUACAUUUUUUUAUAAUUGUUAUUGUGAUUGUAACUUUUUAACUGUAAUUGCAUUUACAACAAUAAAUUAUGCUCUAAUUUGGUCUUUGAAAGAGCGAGGGACGUAGAAGGGUGUCAUACUACGAAGAAAUGCUGCACCCAAGAAGAUGGAAUACAAAGAACUCUCUGAAAAAAUACAUAACCGACAAAAGUUAGAGAACCAAGCAGGCGAAAGCAUUCCGACUACUAGGUUGACCUGUUUGAAGUUUACCAACCCUUCCAGAUUUCUGCCUAACUACUUAGACUCGCAUAUAAAUAGUUUCGAUCCUCAUCAAAGCGCCCCGCAAGGCUUCGUUUUCUAUUUGGAGUACCUCGAUACUUUCGCUUUUGAAACUCGCAUUAUACCGACUAUUCUAAGGAAUCCCAUAAAGUUCCAAUCUCAAUUAUUAUUCCUUACCAAUUUCCUCUCUGGAACUCAAAUUCUUCGCACUUUUUUUGAGGACAUCCGAUUAAACCCUUCCGAAAGGCUUUCCAACCUGUUUGCGAGCUCCUCGACCAUUUCUGGAACUCUCACUAUACAUACUGUUCUGAGGAAACCCGAUCAAGGUGUAUCGCAAUGUUUCUAUCUCUAAUUUGAAUUUCCUACCUAUUUCCUCUCCGGUACUCAAACUCUUCACACUGUUCUGAGAAAACCAGAGCAAAGUGUUUCUCAAAGUUUCAAUCUCUAAUUUGAAUAUCCUUUCUAUUUUCUCUCUGGAACUCAAACUAUUCACACUGUUAGGCAACCCGAAGCGUUUCAUAAGAUUUCAAUCUCUAUUUUAUAUUCCUUGACAAUUUCUCUCUGGAACCCAAAAUUCUCACACUGUUCCGAUGAAACUCGAGAAAUUGUGUCGUAAAACUUUGGAAGUUUUCUUGAGUUCCUUGGCUAUUUCCUGUCUGGAACUAAAUUCCGCACACUGUUCUAAGGAAACCCAGUCUAACCCAUUUCACAACGUUUCGACUGCUAUGUUGAAUUUCUUGACAAUUUGCUUUCUAGAACUCAAAUUCCUCACACUGUUCUGAGGAAACGCGACCAUUUUGUGUCGCUGUCUAUUUGGAGUUCCUUAACAAUUUUCGUCUCUGGAACUCGAACUAAAAGGACCACUGGUUCAAGAAAAGAAAAACGUAUAACCAGUAUUCACCAGCAUUCAUCUCCACACUCACUCAAAUCAUUACUUUAAUCGAAGAUCAGUAAAUGUUGGAACUAUAAAAAGGCUUCUUGAGACUUUUAAUAUUUAGAGAGAGAGUUCCAGAUCGCAUUAUUAAAAAAUCUCCGGUUUCUCCACAUGUUUCAUUCGAUUACUUGAUAAUGAUGUAUGUAUAGAAGAAUUUCUAAAUAUAUUUACUAAAACUAGUACUCUUAAAACAUUUUUGUUGGUGUUACAGUUAUUUGCCUAUAAUGCCUAACCAUUACUUCAUAUAUUGUCAUAAAUGGCAUCGUUUCGCAUCGUUGAUUUAUUUAAUUUCACUGUGCAUUGAAUCGAAUAGUCGUCAGUGACAUUUAUAUUCACAUUAGAACUGCCGCUCACAGUUCUUUCCAGUCAAGCCUCGUGUAAUAUAAGCUUGACUUGUACAAUUUAGAAUGUAAUUAAUUAAUUAAUUUUGAACAUUAUCUCAUGACAAUCUGACGGCUUACAAUAUAAUUGAUAUUAAUUUCAGUGCGCAUAGUAAUGUGCAAUACAUUAGUACAUAUUACAAUGACAUGUACAAAAGUGGGAAUUGAGGUAAAUGAGGGUAUUGGGAGACUGAAAAUUUGAAUCACUGCGCACCAUAGACAACUUUCAAUGUCAAAAAUCUUCGUAGAUAAGUCAAAGCUGUUGGAUUCAACUCUCAAUUUUUCAAGCUACUUUAAACAAUUAUUAUAUGAAUGAAUUACACUUGUUUUUUCUGCUGAACGAAUGAAAUAGCGACAAAAACAUGUGUAGUCUACAAACAACUCAGUUAUAAAUCAAAUUUAAAAACAUGCUAAUAAAUUAAAUUAUUUUUAGACAACUUUAUAUGUCUACUAAAUUGAGUGUCUUCGCUGAAACCAAUACAUUCUCCGCGCUCAUAUAAGUCGUCUUAUAGCAGCCGAUUAGUCAUCGCCAGGAGACUAAAAGAUACGUAUAAAUCAACAGAAUGAUUAAAAAUAAAAUUUGUGAAUAUAAACCAAAAAAUAAAUACAAAAAUACACAACAAACGAAGACAAGUUGCAUCAGCGUUUGGCCAAACAACAACUGGUACGGCGACAACUUGUGCAACAACUUGUGCGAUUGCAACUACAAAUGCGGAAAAUUGGUUAUUCAUGCCACACAACCGGCGAGAUGACGACGCUGCGACGCGGCAGCCAAAGUCCGAAAUGACUCGAUUACCACAUUUUGUGAAGACGAAUGGACGGACUUGCGGAUAAAUGAAUGGUUCGAUGGCUGUACGGACGGACCGAAAAAGAGGCGGUUAAGUUUGGCACUUUGGCUUACUGGCAGCUUAACUGGUUAACUUUUUGGCUUGCCGGUUGACUAGUUGCCACUGUCCGGAUGACACAUUGUCCGCGAUCUGCGCAACAACAAAAAUAAAAUUAAAAAUUAAACAGCAAAACCUAAAACCCACUUGCCGAGACGGAUGCACGUAGUUAAAUAAAUAUGAAAGAGUGUGAGUAACAACAAAAACACUGCCAAUUUAUGGCAAAUGACAGUUUAAAAGCAUUUAAAUUUUAUAUCAACGAGCAAAUAAAAGCCCAAUAAAUGGCAACGGAAACGCCUUUAAAUGCAUAAAUAUAAAUAUGUAAAUAAAUAAAUUGUAAAAAAUCAUUAAAAAUGGAAAUGAAAUAUGAGUCAAUACACAGAGAAUGCAGCACCCAGAGUGCAUUGGGUUGUGACACGUCACAAAAGAACAAAAAUCAAAAACUAGUGAGGUUGUUAGGCGUUCGGACGGUACUACGAACUAUAGACGAUCAAACAUUAAGAUAUUUCGACAUCUCUAUUUCUCAAUAGAUCGAAAAUUACUUCAAUAAGGAAAGAUAGACAGCAGGGAAGUUCAACCACCUCAAUCCAAGCUGUUGAAGUUUAUCUGAAACGGGGGUGGACACCAGAUAGAAGUCAUGGAUCAAUGGUUGAGGUUUUUGCUGGCGCUUGGAAUACUGAUAUCCUGAAUCUUGGAAUACUGCUCUGAAGAUUAGCUGUGGAGAUUCAAGAGUUUUCCGUUAGGUAAAGAUAGAUAACAGUAUCUUGCUAAUAUGGAACUACUGAGACUGGCUGAACACUGUAUAGUUAACAAGCUCGCCUCGUAAAUCCUUCACAAAAUGAUGAGGACAUGGAAAGUCAAAGAAAAAACAAAGCAUCGCGUAUUAAUAUCUUGUGUAAACUCAAAACUUUUUUGGUCAAUAGAGGAUGAAAAGAACUCGGAAACCCCCCCUAAAUUCAACCACAACAAAACUCUGGACCCUGAUAUGAAAUUUAAAAAGUGGUCUUUUGGGAUCUCCAAGUCCUUAUUCCCAAGAAGGAAUAAAAAGACCACAGAAACACUUCUAAGUCCAACCAAAGUGAGGUAUGUGGUUUAAAACAUUAAGAAAGAUCGGAUCAAAGUCCGACUAAAGUGAAGAAUUUAGAAAGUAUUAUUGGGUGGUUUCAAAUUCCGAGAGAGAUUGGAUAUUCUUCUGGGUUCAACCAUGACAAAGCUGAAGUCCCUGAUAUAGUAUUGAAAAACUCUUGGAACUUACAUGUAAUAAACUGGAGUUCCAGAAAUUGUGGACCUUGCUAUGAAAAUUAAGAAGUGGAUAAAAGAUCUCGGUAACACUUCUGAGACCAAAUACAAUUAUUAAUUUUAGGUUUAUUGUGGGGUUUCAAACUCCGGGAGUCCAAACAUAGUAAAGACUUUUCUUCUUCUGAUUACAACUACAGUAAAUCCCUUGGAACUUGGAUAUAUUAAGAUGGAAUUCCGGCUCUUUUCGAGGUUAUGGACCAUUCUCAGCGGCUAUACGUCGAAAUGGCGAGCUAAAACCUUGUUGCCUUAGUUGAAAUAAGUCACAAGCAAUCAUCUACACAAAACUAAAAUACCCUGAAAGCAUACUGAGCUCGGAGCUAUAGAAAAACCGCAGCCAAGUCACUCAGUAUCCGCAAAUUAAACGCAGUUGAGUAUAAAUUAAAAAUAUAUAUAUCAAUGCUGCCUUUUAAGCUCAAGUCAGUUAUGCGUGAACAGACAAAAACGCGUUUACAGCAUUGACGCAUUGCCAACUCCCUCGCUGGCUGCAGUGACGCAUGAUUGCUUGCGCUUGCACAUGCGCAGCCGUGGACUUGAAAAUAAAAACACACAAGGCAAUUACAAAAAGCUACAGUAGACGCGUUCACCAAAAUGGACUGUGAAUUAUGCGUGAAUGUGCGUUGAAAUGUGGCGUCGGCCCAUCCCCAGUAAGACCACCGAACCGUAUGGCCGUAGUUAGCAACUGCGCGUCUCACUCAAAUUUAUGCUCGCGCCGCCAUCGCCUUGACUCUAAUCGAUGUGGGCCAGUCAUAAUGCCUCGAUCCGGUUCGGCGCAGUUUCAACGCCUUGUUGACCGACCGACGGACAGUGCUCCUCGUCGUUCAAGUGCAAUGUCGCAUUCGAUUGCAUUCGUAACGGUGUUUAUCUUAAGCGACUUUGUCUUGCAAUUAUCGUGGUAUGUGUUUUGUGCUACGUUAAUUGGCAUUACUGAAGCGUUUGGUUAUUUGUGUUUGUCUUUAUUUACUGUUCGCUAUUUGCUCAAUGGGCUGUCACCCGUUCGCACUACGUCGACGAUUAUGCUUUUUUUCUUUCCCAUUUUUAAUUGUUUGGCUUGUUAGUUGCUCACUAAAUAAUUUCGCACAUUUUUAUUUCGUUAAGUUAUUAGCGGUACUUUUGUAUUCCAUUUAGCAGCUACAUAUCUUAACUCAAUUUGCUUUGUCGCCUUUGUCGACUCUUUCUGUCUACAAUAAAAGCAAAUAUCACGCUUUGGAAAGUGUUACUUUCUUGAGCUACGAACUGAUCGAGUAGAUAAGUUGAGUUUAGCUCCAGCGGACUUGCCGGAAAAGGGUCUUAUCUAGAUUAAAAAGUUACGAGGUGUGCCUGAGAAUAUCUAUGAAGGAUAGUGUCAUCCAUUCCAUCUAAGGUUUAGAAGCAACACGCACACACCUAACUGUUACCGAUGAAUCAGGGAGGAACAUAAGAGAGAAGUUCACCGAAAGAAGUUUGAGAGAAACUUUUGGUGGGAGUGGGAUCACCGAUUAUUCUCAAAAAAGUUAAAACUAGUAGGAAAUCAAGCUCCCAAAAAAUUUGGAAAUAGAACUAAAAGUUAGGUUAUACAAUUCGAUCCUUAAGUCCAGGUCGUAGUUUCCGUCUCUUCAACGAGUGAGAUCAUCGAAUACUCUCGAAAAGAGUUGUAUUUUUGUAUUCCAAGACCAUCAAGAUUUCUGCUGUGAAGAACUGAGAAAUUUGUAAGGAAGAAAAAGAAAAGAUCCAAGCUGUGGACUGCAGAUCUCUGGAGACAGAAUCUAUAUUUAGUAUGUUACCAUAUAACUAAGGGCCACUAAGGUAUUUGUGGUGCGAUUCGACAGCCUAAAAUCACACCGAUUUUGAAUUUUAUAUAGCGAUUCUUCAAAAUCUCUGCUGAGAGAUGAAAGAUCAUAGUUUGUAUUGUCGAUAGUAACAAUGAGGAAUAUUGGAAGUACUUCAAAAUCUUGAACGAAUAAAAACUGGGGCUAUGGACUGCAGAUAUCUGGAGACACAAGUUACAUUUGUCAUUGAAGAUCAAGUCUCCAGCGAGUGACCCCCAAGGCAAUUGAAUGCCACGCACAUGUGUUAUCCGUUGGCUCUAUGCGAAGAACGACAUGAAGACUAUGAAGGCAUAGAAUACCACAAAGACGAGUUAUUCUUGGAUGGAGAGCGCGAACCGUUCAAACAAAAAGCAACAGAGCAGUGACAAGCACCAAAUAUGUACAUAGAACCAGCACCAACCGACAGCGCUGAUCUCGAGUAUGCCACUUCAAUUGGAAAUUAAAAACAAAAUAAGCGCGAAGAGAAAAGAGAUUUAAAAGAAACAAAAAAUUGAUUAUAGAAAAUUAAAACCGACUGUAAAAGUUAAAAAUAAUUAAAAAUCGAUAUUAAACAACAGCAACAACAAACAGUAAAAGAAAGAAAGAUGAGUGUACAUCAAAGCUGAUGGUAGAAAGGAGUCGUUGGAAGUAUAAUAAGCAAUAAUAAAGCAUAGAAUCAAGAAGUAAACACAUGCAUGCAUAUAUUUGGAUAUAUACAUAGUAGUAUGUAUUACAUACAUAUAUAUUCCAAGUUGAAAUGUAAAUUUCUAUUAUUAUUGAUGAGUUGAAAGGUGAAGCAUUUCAAAGCGCAACAAAACCAAAAAAAAAAUACUACAACAACAACUAAAAACAGUUAGUGCUGCGAGCUGAAACAAUGGUGUUGCUUUAAGGCUUUAAAUAUUCGCCGAUCAUCAAUAAUAACCGGGGGUAUAGGGGUCCGGCGGUGCCGCAGUCAAAGAGCCGGCGUAGUUUGGCAGCGUCUAUACAUACUUAUACUAUUUAUAAACGUAUGUACAUGAUUACCGCAAACACGAGCUCCACAAAUUUUCAACUCGAAAAUUGCUUUG